CAUUGUGGUUCGAGAUGCGUGUGCGUGUGUGCACCUGAGGAAUUGUCUUGCACACAGUGUCUUUCUUAGUGAGCAUCUAUGCAUGUGACAUCAGGGAUUUGGAAGAUAGACUGGCUAUUUUUCAGGUCCUUUAAUUGGCAUAACUUUAUAAAAUCUUUUGGCUAAUUUACAAGUUUAAGUUAUGUGUGUAGUUAGAAAGAAAUUAAUUCUAAAAAGUUCAAACUAGACUGGUAAAGUACAUAAACCAGUUAGUAUAUUUAGGAUAUGAAAUUUUCAUUUAGAAACAGAACUAUGGUGUUUAUAAUGUAGUCUGUAUUUUGCAGGUAUUUAUUGGGUAUAUUGCUAAAACUGGCCCUUUAUGAAUAAGGUAUUAUAAUGAAAAACAAGAAAAUGCUAAUACUUGAUACAGUUUUAUUUUUUAUCAUUUGUUUAAAAUUUGUCAGUGUAAAGCUUUAGAAACUAUUUGAUCAUUUCCUCCCCUCAAAUAAUUUUUUCCUUUGCUUUGACUAUACCAAGAAUUUUUAUAAUACUAAUAAUUAUGUUUAUAGAAUAAAAGUGUACAACUUUUUAUUUAAAUCUUUAAAGCUUAGACUCUAAUCUUAAGGAACAGUUACAAACCCCCUCCCUUCCCUUUGCAGUUUUAGAGUGUAAUGUCACAAAUAGCAAAAGGCCUCAGCCUUCCUGGAGACAAGCGAUGCCGAGGAAGUGCAGAGCUCCCACUUGACCAGAGUGCCUCUUCUUGCUGAGGUGGAAACCUGAGACAGGAUUUAGCCAAGUGGUGUAGCAAGUCAGAUCUACAUUUUGAGGCUCUUUCAGAGCCCUUGUAAACAGAUUUAGCUCAAUGGUAAAGUUAAGUAGUAGGGGGUAAAAAUCCUCCACAUGUAAAAGCAAAUGAGUUUUUAAAGAACAGAAAAUCAUCUCUAUGAGAACUUACUUGUAAAUUACCCAUGUGGACAGUAACCCUAGCUCCUGUUAGCAUUUCUAUAGAAGCAUGCAUUUUGAUUAAGCCAAACAAAUUAAAAGAAAAACGGAAAAGUAGCCAGCCAAUCAUGUAUCUGUAUUCUCACAGAUAUUUUGUUCUUUUGUGUGUUUUUCAUGGUGUUCCUUUUUACUUGCUGUGUUUCCUUUAUUUUAUAUUAUUUAUGGAGAGCCUUUCAAUCUGAGACUGACUUGCACAUUGCAUGCUCUUACAUGUGAAGUCAUCUCAGCAAAGAGUUCCUCUUUGGAGCUGUGUCCCUCUCUGUGUCUGUGUCCCUUAGUCAGAGUGCUGAGUCUUCAGCUGCCACAUCACUGCCCCAAGGCAUGUGGAGAAGGUGCUGACUCUCUCUGCCCACCCAGUGUGUUCUCAAUCUCCACUCCAAACUGAGAGAGAAGGAAGGCUGGCUAUAGGAGGGAGUUCAUGUAAACGGCAGAUGUGAGACCAGAUCCAUUUAUACAAGUUCAGUUGGGGUUUCCAGGAUUAGCAAGCUUUCUGAACUCAAAUAGGAAGUGGAAGUUCUCACUUCAGAGGGCUUCAUAUCAGUUCUUUUCUAAAUUUUACUGAGACCAUGGCAAUACACGUGUAAUACUCAGAAUGCAUACAACAGCAUGAAUCAGACAGCACCCCUAGCAUCACCUGGCUGUUAGUUGAGUUGAAGUGCUCACCACCUGAAAGGGUGUGACUUGUCUGCCCAAGAAAAGUAAGGAAACCCUUGCUGUAAUAGAUACUCUCCGUUCAUUGUGGCCUGUUUUUGUCCAAUCAAUAUACAGCAAGCCACAUUUCAUCUUGUCAAACCAAAAACCUACUACUACCUAGCUACAUUUGUAUGAAAUCUAACACAAUGUGACAGAAAUAACAGCCCAGUCUGCAAUGCACAUUGAACUGGUGAAAAAAUCAGGAAUGGUUUGGCAAAGAUAAAACAUAAAAUUAAUUUUCUGUUAUUUUCUUUUCAUUCACAUUCAUACCAGGUAGACUGUGUCAAAUACCUACAGUAGAAGAGAGCUUGUUCAUGCAUGCAGGACAGAAUAAAGAUUAAGAGCUCCAGGAAAUCAGCUUGCUUCAAGAAACCAUUAAAGUGUGCCUGUCCCUCAGGCUUCACAGAUGUGUUGAUUGUUGAGUUUCAAUCAUGUAAAUAUGUUACAGCAUAAAGUAACCAAGAUUCCCUGUUACAGAAGUGCUCCUGUGUCGGGGUGUGGGAGUAGGGAGAGACGAAAGAGAACUAAAUAACACACUGUAAUGAAACCUGCCUUUGGGCAGCACAUGCUUCAGUUCUGAAUGCCCAGAAAUACUUCAUGUGCACUCUAGGCUGCCUAGCAAUGGGGAUUUUCUAAUUCUGGCCAGCUUGACAAAGUAAAUACAACUCUUGAACAUAAGGCAGCUCCUAAU
rnacentral:lncRNA from 1 species